ACUAGAGAAGCGGAUUCUCAAUUGAAUUUAUUGGGAAAUCAGGACUCGAGUAAUGGGUGCUGGGAAAUUCAAGAAAUUAACAAUAAAUAAGCAUCUGUGUUGUAGAUGGGGGGUUUCAAGAUUGAAUCCUUUGUAACUAAAGCUGUUUAUCAGAUUGUUUGAGGAAGUCUGUAAAUGUCUAUGUAGUUUGCUGUAGGAGGUGGUUUCAGAGUGUAGGAAAUCGUUUGAGUAAAUGGUAGUUGGUAGGUGUCUGAGCUGCUGUGAUGUCAAGCAGUUGGUUAUUGUAAGUAGGAAUUUCCGAAUUUGUUUGGUAGAGGUGUAGAGUUUGGUUGAGCUGCUGGUUAUUAUUGUUAGAAAUAAUGCAGAAGAAAAUAACAAUUCCUGCUUGGUUUUGUUUUUAUACAGAUAACAUGAUAAAUCUUCAAACACAAGAAAAUAACCUUCUUCUACAAAUUGCUCCACACUUAACAAUUACGCAGCCAAGUUCCAGUUAAGUCUGGAGUGUGUGUUGUAGACUGAUUGUUUGAUUAGUAAAAUAAUGCUCAUUCAUACAAUUUUUUUUUUUUUUUUUAAUUUUAUAAAAUCAAAUCAAAUCAUGAAGACAAUUCUGGGAUACAAAGAAAUUUUUCUUCCUUUUGCCAAGGUCUUUGUAUGCGCAGUGGCUUGCUCAAGCUCUGGGAAAGGACUGUCACAAAGCUAACGUUUAUCUGAUUUUGGAAAAAGAGGAAUUUGAGGUUAUUUUCUAAAAGAAGCCGAAAUAUUUCGAGCUUGCAAGUUAUACUCAGUGUGUUCCCUAUAUGGCUCUCGCCCAUUCCCUAUAUGGCUUUCGCCCUUGAUCACUCACUAAUAGAAACAAUUUCAUGUUAUGGGGUAUUUCUAGAAAAUGUUUUACUCUUUGGGUUUCUAUGUUGUUGGUUUUGUUCUCUUGUGAUGUGUUGUAGGUGCCUGAGGUUGGCCCUACCUUUUGUUUUUAUGAGGUUGUUGCUGGGUUGUAAGUUGUGUUUGUUGCUGUCCCUUUAAAUGCAGGGAGUCCAACUGAUGGAGGAUAACCAGAGACUAAAACAGCUCAGCUGUUCCCCCGGAUCCCCAAGACCAACACAUCGACAGCACGUCUCUCAAGUUGGGAUGCUACUGUUCACGGCUCAAACACUGAUAUAGAAUGCUCAGAAUCCAAUCUCCACCGUUCAUAAUGUAGAUUCAUGUGUUAUGAACGUCCCUGCAAAAUUUCAGCUCAAUCGGACCACAAACGCCCAUCGAUCGGAGUUGUUGAUGAAGACUGGACAGUCCGGGUCCGGACCUCCAGAAGCCGGGUCCGGACCCCAUUUCCAGAAACUUGAUUUUUCAAGCAGGGUCCGGACCUCAAUUCCCUGGGUCCGGACCCCAGUUCCAGAAAGUGAUGCUUGAAGGAGAUGUCCGGACCUCCAGAAGUUGGGUCCGGACAUCAGUUCCAGAGAACACGCUUUUGUUGAGAUGUCCGGACACACGAAUUGGAGGUCCGGACAUCACUAGGUUACGAAUAAGUAAUCCUAGCCAUGUCCGGACCUCAGAUCUACCAUGUCCGGACACGGCAGUCUUAUGUUGUGUAUUUUUCUAUUUAAGCUACGGGAGUUUGCCAUUGUAACUUACGUAUUUUAUU